ACACUGAGAAUUCUUUACAAAAAGAAUAAAUGGCUGAACGAAUAAACAAGAAUAGUCUCCCAACUUAGUAUCUUUUGGUGCCAGAAGAUUUGCAUCAUUUUAAGAGAAAUUUCCUCCUAUGUUAUUUAUAUAAACACAAGCUAGACUUUUCUCAGACCUUCAAAUGUGUAAGACUGUCUCACUUGCUAUUUGCUGUUUUUCUUCUUGCCUCUAACACUCAGUGGCAGAUCAUGAGAACAGCAGAGUGGGAAACAAUAGUGUAAUACAACAUAUAGCGAUUAAAGAAAAUGGGAUUUGGAGUUGGAAAAUUGGGUCUCAACUCUUAGUACAUCCACUUGUCAACUACAUAUGAUGUUAAUUCAAUUCAGCUCUCUGUUCCUUAAUUUCCUCAUCAUUAAAAUUGGGAUGAUUUUAGUUCAAAUUUAUUUAUUAUUCAUUCAGUUGUAAGCAAUAGGAAAUUCUACUUAGCUGACUUAAACAAUAAAAUCUUUUAUUGGCUUGUGUAUCUUGAAGAACAGAGGUAUUAUAGUUGCCAGGGUUUGUUUGAUUCAGUGGCUCAGUAAUGUCAU
rnacentral:lncRNA from 1 species